GAUGAACGCUGGCGGCGUGCCUAAUACAUGCAAGUCGAGCGAACGGACGAGAAGCUUGCUUCUCUGAUGUUAGCGGCGGACGGGUGAGUAACACGUGGAUAACCUACCUAUAAGACUGGGAUAACUUCGGGAAACCGGAGCUAAUACCGGAUAAUAUUUUGAACCGCAUGGUUCAAAAGUGAAAGACGGUCUUUCUGUCACUUAUAGAUGGAUCCGCGCUGCAUUAGCUAGUUGGUAAGGUAACGGCUUACCAAGGCAACGAUGCAUAGCCGACCUGAGAGGGUGAUCGGCCACACUGGAACUGAGACACGGUCAAGACUCCUACGGGAGGCAGCAGUAGGGAAUCUGCCGCAAAGGGCGAAAGCCUGACGGAGCAACGCCGCGUGAGUGAUGAAGGUCUUCGGAUCGUAAAACUCUGUUAUUAGGGAAGAACAUAUGUGUAAGUAACUGUGCACAUCUUGACGGUACCUAAUCAGAAAGCCACGGCUAACUACGUG
rnacentral:rRNA from 1 species